AGAGAGUGCAAGCGUUAAUCGGAAUUACUGGGCGUAAAGCGCGCGUAGGUGGAUAUUUAAGUCGGAUGUGAAAGCCCUGGGCUUAACCUGGGAAUUGCAUCUGAUACUGAAUGUCUAGAGUAUAGUAGAGGGAAGUGGAAUUUCCGGUGUAGCGGUGAAAUGCGUAGAUAUCGGAAGGAACAUCAGUGGCGAAGGCGGCUUCCUGGACUAAUACUGACACUGAGGUGCGAAAGCGUGGGGGGAGCAAACAGGAUUAGAGACCCUGGUAGUCCACGCUGUAAACGAUGAGAACUAGAUGUUGGGAGGGUAUACCUCUUAGUAUCGAAGCUAACGCGUUAAGUUCUCCGCCUGGGAGUACGGCCGCAAGGUUA
rnacentral:rRNA from 1 species